CAAGGAGCGCUUUUCAUUUAG
rnacentral:siRNA from 1 species